AAUCCGCCCCUGUUUACUGCAGAAUGUGGAAACAAUCUAAUCAUUUAUUUAUUUGUGACAUUGUUUUUAUUCCGUACAAAUUUAAUUUCAUUUUAAUUGGAUUUUAUAAACGUAAGCAUAUCGUUUCAUACAUUUUAAAUAAAUCUAAUAACAGAAAACACUCCAAACAAACGUUUGCAUUCGGUUCUUUUGGGAACUAUUUCAUAACGUACUGAGAACUUUCUAUUCUGGUGAACAAGAAUGACUGGACCGACCAUCUGGGCCUGGAGAAGUCGGCAUGCUGUCAGUGUUUCAUCCGCCCUUCUUGUCAAGCUCUAAUCCUGCAGUAACCCAGAAGCAGAUGCCACCAGCACGAGGGAGGAAUAGUGAGAAGGAGCUGAAGCACAGUGUUGAGCUAUGUCCGGCCUGAGCAUGUCAUUCUGAGAAACACAACAGCCAGAAGGAGAGAGCAUGUCAGUGUGGCUGAAUGCAAAAGGAAACCUAAUCUCCUGGCAGUCGGUGCCCUUUGCUCCCCCAGAGAGAAGGGCGGCAACAAGAGAAGCAGCUGUCUCUUACAAUGGAGCAGCUCAACGAUCCUCAUUCAGACCUGGUUCACCAAUCCGGCAUCAAGGCACACACCCAGCUGACAAUGCUGGCACACAGGAAAGCCAGACAUUGGUGGGGGAGGUGCUGGGCAUUGUCUUUGGAAAAAAGAUGGCAACUAGGGUUGCAUCACCACUGGUUUAACUGCCAUGUCAAAUAUGAUCCACCACUACUCAGCACUUAUGUUCUGCCAAAACAGGACACCAAGAGACAUGGAAAUACAAGAUCAACUUAUUUUUACAUUGGUCAUGUAUGGUUUUAGGCAUCUGGUCAAGAGUGAUUAGAAUAAGAACUAUAGUAAACUCAGACAAGCACUAGGAAAAAAAUUAAUAAAACAAACAGAAUGAUUUGGAAUAUUGGUUCUGUUCAUUUUAUUACAGCAAUUUUGUUUUUCAUUUUUAUUUAUGUCAUAAAAUCCAUAUAAUUAUACAAAAGAAACACAAAAGACCAAAUUGCGCUACAUUUAUCAUUUAAGUUGUGUGUGAAUCUUUUCAUAGGUUAAGCCGAACUAAACAUUUUUGCCAGAUUUACAAAAGUUAUCACUAGUUUCUUCUUACUUGUACUUCUGCAGAUAAACUACAAGAACUCGUGCUCGUUAUAAGUCUUGAAAUCUUUCAGUUAUGUGUCACAAUGGUGAAUGUCUUCACAUCUAACACAGUUCUCAUGCAAUAUGAAUGUUUUGCUCUAUGUUCAUGAAUACCACAUUACCCUUGUAAAUGAUCCGGAAAACAAUUUAGCCACAAAUUAAUUCUUAUGUAGCUGGAUAGAUUGCGCUUCAUUGUCUUUGUUUUAUUAUUUUAUUUUUGUCUGGUUAUUGAUAUCAAUAGAAUAAACC